UACGGAGGGUGCAAGCGUUCCUCGGAAUUACUGGGCGUAAAGCGCACGCAGGUGGCUGAGUCAGUCGAUUGUGAAAGCCCUGGGCUUAACCUGGGAAUUGCAGUCGAUACUACUCAGCUAGAGUAUGGGAGAGGGUAGUGGAAUUCCCGGUGUAGCGGUGAAAUGCGUAGAUAUCGGGAGGAACAUCAGUGGCGAAGGCGGCUACCUGGCCCAAUACUGACACUCAGGUGCGACAGCGUGGGGAGCAAACAGG
rnacentral:rRNA from 1 species